rnacentral:rRNA from 1 species
UACAGAGGGUGCGAGCGUUAAUCGGAAUUACUGGGCGUAAAGCGUGUGUAGGCGGCCAUUCAAGUCGGAUGUGAAAGCCCCGGGCUCAACCCGGGAAGUGCACCCGAAACUGGAUGGCUUGAGUAUCGGAGAGGUUGGUGGAAUUCUCGGUGUAGAGGUGAAAUUCGUAGAUAUCGAGAGGAACACCGGUGGCGAAGGCGGCCAACUGGACGAAUACUGACGCUGAGACACGAAAGCGUGGGGAGCAAACAGG